GUUUAGGGGUGCAGUGUGUGUGUGAGGGGUGUUGUGUGUAUGUGUAUAUAUAUAUAUAUAUAUAUAUAGUUUAUAUAAAUAUGUUUGGAAGUAUUGUGUAUGUGUGUGAUGCAGUGUAUUGGGGGGUUGUGUGUAUGUGAGGGGUUCAGUAUGUGUGUGAGGGUGCUGUGUGUGUGAGGGUGCUGUGUAUGAUGAGUGUGAGAGUGUUGUGUGUGUGAUGUGUGUGAGUGCUGAGUGUGAUAGUGCUGUGUAUGAUGUGUGAUGUGUGUGAGAGUGAUGUGUGAGAGUGCUGUGUGUGAGUGUUGUGUGUUAUGUGUGUGAGUGCUGAGUGUGAUAGUGCUGUGUAUGAGUGUUGAGUGUGAUAGUGCUGUGUAUGAUGUGUGUGAGUGCUGAGUGUGAUGUGUGUGAGAGUGAUGUGCCUGAGUGCUGUGUGUGAGAGUGUUGUGUGAUGUGUGUGAGAGUGCUGAGUGUGAGAGUGCUGAGUGUGAGAGUGCUGAGUGUGAAAGUGCUGUGUGUGAAAGUGCUAUGAUGUGUGUGAGAGUGCUGCAAUGUGUGAGAUUGCUGUGUAUGAUGUGUGUGAGAGUGCUAUGAUGUGUGUGAGAGUGCUAUGAUGUGUGUGAGAGUGAUGUGUGAGAGUGCUGUGUGUGAGUGUUGUGUGUUAUGUGUGUGAGUGCUGAGUGUGAUAGUGCUGUGUAUGAUGUGUGUGAGAGUGCUGCUGAGUGUGAUGUGUGUGAGAGUGAUGUGCCUGAGUGCUGUGUGUGAGAGUGUUGUGUGAUGUGUGUGAGAGUGCUGAGUGUGAAAGUGCUGUGUGUGAAAGUGC